UACAGAGGGUGCGAGCGUUGUUCGGAAUUACUGGGCGUAAAGCGCGCGCAGGCGGCCUUUUAAGUCUGACGGUGAAAUCCCGGGGCUCAACCCCGUGACUGCAUCCGAUACUGUCAGGCUAGAGGUAGGUAGGGGAGAUCGGAAUUCCUGGUGUAGCGGUGAAAUGCGCAGAUAUCAGGAGGAACACCGGUGGCGAAGGCGGCAUGCC
rnacentral:rRNA from 1 species